rnacentral:rRNA from 1 species
UGGGGAAUAUUGCACAAUGGGCGCAAGCCUGAUGCAGCCAUGCCGCGUGUAUGAAGAAGGCCUUCGGGUUGUAAAGUACUUUCAGCGGGGAGGAAGGUGUUGAGGUUAAUAACCUCAGCAAUUGACGUUACCCGCAGAAGAAGCACCGGCUAACUCCGUGCCAGCAGCCGCGGUAAUACGGAGGGUGCAAGCGUUAAUCGGAAUUACUGGGCGUAAAGCGCACGCAGGCGGUCUGUCAAGUCGGAUGUGAAAUCCCCGGGCUCAGCCUGGGAACUGCAUUCGAAACUGGCAGGCUAGAGUCUUGUAGAGGGGGGUAGAAUUCCAGGUGUAGCGGUGAAAUGCGUAGAGAUCUGGAGGAAUACCGGUGGCGAAGGCGGCCCCCUGGACAAAGACUGACGCUCAGGUGCGAAAGCGUGGGGAGCAAACA